UACAGAGGUCUCAAGCGUUGUUCGGAUUCAUUGGGCGUAAAGGGUGUGUAGGUGGCGCCGUAAGUCGGGUGUGAAAUUUCGGAGCUUAACUCCGAAACUGCAUUCGAUACUGCCGUGCUUGAGGACUGGAGAGGAGACUGGAAUUUACGGUGUAGCGGUGAAAUGCGCAGAUAUCGUAAGGAAGACCAGUGGCGAAGGCGGGUCUCUGGACAGUUCCUGACGCUGAGGCACGAAGGUCAGGGGAGCAAACGGG
rnacentral:rRNA from 1 species